UGUUAUGGCGGCUGUGUGCAGGGCGCCUUCGGGCGAGCUGAGUUUUGGCGUUGUCUCAGUUGACCAAUCCUGCAUGCGGCCGCCUCCCAC
rnacentral:antisense_RNA from 1 species